rnacentral:rRNA from 1 species
CAGUAGCCACGGUAAUACAGAGGGUGCGAGCGUUAAUCGGAUUUACUGGGCGUAAAGCGUGCGUAGGCGGUUUUUUAAGUCGGAUGUGAAAUCCCUGAGCUUAACUUAGGAAUUGCAUUCGAUACUGGGAAGCUAGAGUAUGGGAGAGGAUGGUAGAAUUCCAGGUGUAGCGGUGAAAUGCGUAGAGAUCUGGAGGAAUACCGAUGGCGAAGGCAGCCAUCUGGACUAAUACUGACGCUGAGGUACGAAAGCAUGGGGAGCAAACAGGAUUAGAUACCCCCGUAGUCCCUGUCUCUUAUAA